CUCAAGCUUCCAAUUGUAGUGAGUGGAAAGUAUAUAAAUAACUUCCUUUGACCUUGUUUUUCUCACCUGAGAUGAGAUAACUAUGGAGUAAUUUGCUUUAGAGGAACAGAGGAAAAACAUGGGUGAAUGGAAAGAUCCAAGGAAAGGGAGGUUUUUCUGAUCCGGUUGAGGUUGCACUUUGCGUAACUAUUAGCUUUCAUUGUUGAGGUUCCUCAGUGCUGAGCUAACAAGAGGGUACUUCCUUGAACAUAAUGAGGCCAAGUAUACAGAAAGAAGAGAAAGAGUAUACACUUGUUUGCGAAUACCAGGAGAAUUGGAAAAGCUGAUGGUUUUUGGAAUCUUUCUGUGCCUGGAUGCGUUUUUGUAUGUGUUCACCCUGCUUCCUUUAAGAGUUUUCCUGGCACUAUUCAGGCUCCUCACUUUGCCUUGCUAUGGCUUAAGGGACAGGCGUUUGCUUCAGCCUGCCCAGGUGUGUGACAUUUUGAAGGGUGUCAUUUUGGUAAUCUGCUAUUUUAUGAUGCACUAUGUUGACUACUCCAUGAUGUACCACCUGAUAAGGGGGCAGUCCGUCAUCAAGCUCUACAUCAUCUACAACAUGCUGGAGGUAGCUGAUCGUCUGUUUUCAUCUUUUGGACAAGAUAUAUUAGAUGCUCUCUAUUGGACAGCAACAGAGCCUAAAGAAAGAAAAAGAGCCCACAUUGGGGUGAUUCCUCACUUUUUCAUGGCUGUUCUCUAUG
rnacentral:sRNA from 1 species